rnacentral:rRNA from 1 species
GAUGAACGCUGGCGGCGUGCCUAAUACAUGCAAGUCGAGCGAACGGACGAGAAGCUUGCUUCUCUGAUGUUAACGGCGGACGGGUGAGUAACACGUGGAUAAACUACCUAUAAGACUGGGAUAACUUCGGGAAACCGGAGCUAAUACUGGAUAAUAUUCUGAACCGCAUGGUUCAAAAGUGAAAGACGGUCUUGCUGUCACUUAUAGAUGGAUCCGCGCUGCAUUAGCUAGUUGGUAAGGUAACGGCUUACCAAGGCAACGAUGCAUAGCCGACCUGAGAGCGUGCUCGGCCACACUGGAACUGAGACACGGUCCAGACUCCUACGGGAGGCAGCAGUAGGGAAUCUUCCGCACUGGGCGAAAGCCUGACGGAGCAACGCCGCGUGAGUGAUGAAGGUCUUCGGAUCGUAAAACUUUGUUAUUAGGGAAGAACAUAUGUGUAAGUAACUGUGCACAUCUUGACGGUACCUAAUCAGAAAGCCACGGCUAACUACGUG